GGGUCUGUAGCUCAGCACCCCUGAUAAGGGUGAGGUCGGCAGUUCAAGUCUGCCCAGACCCACCA
rnacentral:tRNA from 1 species